CUUUUUUACCUCUUGUUUUUUUUUUUUUUUUUUGAGGGGGGGAGGUAACCAUAGAAGUCCUAGUUAAUUUGAUGAAAACGUCAGGGCUACAAAGCGCCCGACUCCUUUCUCUGUGGGGAGAAAGGCCUGAAAGGCGAGGCUCCAUGCCAGGUAUUGGUGACACAGCGAGUGGAAUUUGCUGCCUUGGCCACAAAAGAUUUGGGAGAGCCGCAUUUGCAUAAGGUGCUGGCCGUGUCCCCGAGCAGCUGUUGUCCGGCCCCUCCGCCACACCUGUGCAGUGCGCUAAUGGGAGAGCCGCUGGAGAGAGGGCAGCUCCGCGCGCGCUCAGAGUCACCGCGCCGACCCCUUCAGCUUUUAAUUAACUGCGAGCAGAUGCGGUGAAGACAAAGGUUCAAUAAAGGACAAAUUGGGAAUCAUGACGGGAGGACGGAGGGAUAAAGAGGGGCCACUGGUGUUUGGGUGUCUGUUUCAUAGCCUGUUACAGUGAGACAGACAGAUGUUUCCUACAGGGACCAUCACACCGACCUGCUGCCUAUAGUGCUCUUCUGUUUCACACUCGGAGAUGAAGCAAAGACCCAGCUGUGGCCACGUUGAUGCGUGGGCAGGCCUCCCACCCACCGGUGGUGACCCUGCAGCGAUUCCUCCUGGAAGUGCGCCACACAGAAAGCUCCAGCACAUCGCUUCGCUUCUCCCAACCCAGCCGCGUUUCCUCCUCUGUUUCAAAGCAGGCCACGGAAUCAUGCACAGGCGAGCCUCCCACCGGCACACCUGACUGCUCCUUUUUCCUUGCUACACAGAUACUAUCACACCGCUGACCGUGACACAAUUCCCAAAUCGAUGGCAACGGGAUACCAUUCUCUUUAAACUUGUCACGGUGUAAAACCAAAAUAUUGCCCCGUUGUUGUUAAAGAGGGUCAAGAUGCAAGCGAGCACAAACAGUACAGGUUGUGUCCUCUGAUUAAGUAUUUAUGCAGUGGCA